GGUGUUUUUGAAUGGAGGGUUGGAAAAACAGAUUUAUAUAAAAUGUUGGCUCUGAGAGAAGAUAACCUGCAUUCUGAAAGACUAGUGAAGAACAAAAGGAAGUGACACGGGCCGUAUUGGUUCUGGAGGUUUGCAGAACUCCUUACAUUUAUGGAGGUCCCCUUCCGCCAAUUGUUUUAACUCAUUACACCCGCAGGAGAUUUUAGCAAAUCUUAUUUGCAUAACUUUGUUCAAGACAGUCCCUCCACCUGGAAUUCUCUGUUUUCCUUGCAUUGCGCACCUGUGCCACCCUCCUCCUCCAGACUCUUGACUAUUGAAAUUGAAAUUUUAUUGUCUUUUAAGGUCUGCUUCCCAGUUUACCUCCUCCAACUUCACCAAUGCAGUUGGAAAUUGUCUCUCUGCUCUGAACUCCUCGGUCACAGUCUGAUCACACCCUGGCCUGAAUUGAAGUUGUUUGACAGCUCUUCUGUCUUUUUUUUCCUUACAUCUUCCAGAGUUUCUAAUGUUCAGGCUCAGUAAGUACUUGAAUGAAUAGACAGCCAUAUGGAUCCUGACAGGAGUGCUCCCUCACUGCAUGCCAAAUGCAAGUCAAGGACAAGACCAAGGAGACCUCUGCCCGGCCCAGCCCUCUUUCAGGCACUUCUGUGAUACCAUGUGUCUCUCUCCGAUGAAGCCAUUUUUUCUCAGAUUCCUUGGGAAAACAUCCCAGGCAUGUACAAUAACGGUCACCACUCUGACCAGGGGAAUGUCCCAGCUGAAUUUAUGUUUUUACCCUCAAGGACCAUGCAGCUAAACUCCACAUAGGGUGGGGCCCAGUAAUGAGAGAAGACUGUGGUGUGAAUGCCAGCAAUUUAGAGCGUUGGGCCCCUGCCCCUGAUGCAGCCAAAGGGCACUGCCCACUCUCCAUAGGACUGUUGUUAAUGGCCAAAGGGUGUCCUAUGAGUGUCAAAGGAAAGUUCACAUUUCCAUGGAAGGAUCAGAGGCCAAGGGAGAGGUCAGAUGCAUCUGUGGGGCUUUUGUCUGGUUGUUCUUUGUUAAAACCCACAUGUGGACGUAUUUUGAUCUCCCACAUAUCUGCAUGUGUUUCUGGGUGGAUGAGAAUGCUGUGCAGCUGGACCCUGAGUAAUGGUUCCGGCCUUCAACAAGCUCCGCGGAGGAGCAGUUUAGACAGGGUUGCAUUCUGCUCUCAAUUUCCACUUUGGCAAAGGAAACUGCAUAUUCAUCUCAUCAAGUAAGGGGAGAGUUAAGGGCGCUGCCACCAAAUUCUUCUCCCUUCCCAUAUGUGCAAGUCAUGAAGGAAAAGUUCUGACUGUGUUUUUCUGUCAUGCCAAUUCAUGGCUUAGGUGUGUCAAUGCCAGCCUAGUUCCUAGUACAUAGUACUGUCAUUAUUGAUUUUUUCAAACUGUCCUGUCUUCGUCCAGCAGGAGCGUCUUAAAGUUGGCUCAUUAGUCCUUGGAUGCAAUUCGACUUGUCUCUGAUAAAGUUCUAUCUGGCAUGACAAGAUGUUCCAGGUACAUCUUGUGUAUUUCCUGCUCUAAAUCUGGAAUCAGCUGUUUCUCUGAAGAGCAUUGUUUCUUUGAGUGGGAAAUAGUGUUUCUGGAGCUCCCUCUGGGAAUAGGGGUGCUCUAUGCUAACAGGUUAUUCGUUGUGUUGAGGCCUUUUUAGUAGACAGAGCCAGAAAAUAUGUUCAUUUCUUAAGAUAAAUAUAUCAUGAAUUCGUAUUAAUACUUCCAAUUCAAUUCAAGAUUCUAGGAAUUUUGCUUAAUGUCUUCAAUCUUACAUCUCCUUUCUCUCAAAGCUGAGAAUCCUGGUUUUCAAAGGCACUGGGAAUGAGACAUAAUUAUCAAACAGUUAUGCAUUUGUUCUAUCUUACAACACACACACAGAUGUCACAAAAACGACCAACAUUUCCACCAACGAUGUGAUUCCUGAAAAGAGUUUAAGCGUGUCUUGUGUUUGUGCUUGUAGCUUUCAUGGUCCCUGGGGACCUGUGGUCAAGCUGAAGUUGUAAAGUCCAGUGGAAUAAUUCCUCCCUGUGUGGUUAUGCAAACUGUAUUCACAGUUAGGGUCAUAUGUUUCAUUUUAUUUUCCAGGAUUCUUUUUAAAUAUAAUUUUAUAUAAUAUUUACAUUGUUCCAAAGUCAAAUCUACAAAGUAUACACAAAGUAUCUUUAAAGUAGUCUAGCUUCUAUUUCAUAUCUUCUUCACCCUGUAUCCCCCUAUAUCUUAUAAGUAAUCAUUUAUUUUUAAAUUCUAUGAUUUAUUCUUCUAUUGUUUGUUUUUAAAAUGUUAUGUAUACGCACACACACACAGACACAUUCCUUUUUCUCAGAUACACAUGCACAAUUUUCUCUACUCUGUUUUUUUUUUUUUUCUUACUAUAUCUUACUAGAUCUUACUAGAUCACUCCAUACUGGUAUAUAGAGAGAUUUAUUAUUCAUUUUUUAGGCUGGUUCAGUUUACUCAACCAGUCCCUUAAUGAUGAGUAUUUGAGUUGUUUCAUCUUUGUUGGCAAAAAUAAUAACAGCCUUGUACUCUCUCUCUCUCUCUUUCUUUCUUUCAACAGUAUAUCUUUGGAAUAGCUUCCUAAAAAUGGGAUUUCUGGAUACAGAGUAGUUAAAAAAAAUUUUUUUAAACAAUUUCAAAUUUAAAGAAAAGUUGCAAAUAGAAUAGAAAGAACAUUUUUCCUGCACCACUUGAGA
rnacentral:lncRNA from 1 species